rnacentral:rRNA from 1 species
CCCUUAGAUGUCCUGGGCCGCACGCGUGCUACACUGACACUUACACCGAGUUUUUCCAAUGCCGAAAGGCCAUUGGUAAUCAGCAAUAAGUGUCGUGAUGGGGAUAGAUCUUUGGAAUUAUUGAUCUUGAACGAGGAAUGCCUAGUAAUCGUAGGUCAUCAGCCUGCGAUGAUUACGUCCCUGCCCUUUGUACACACCGCCCGUCGCUCCUACCGAUUUCGAGUGGUUCGGUGAACCUUUCGGACCGGCAAUGCCUCGUGUUGCGCCGGAAAGUCAAGUAAACCAUNCNACUUAUNGGAAGGAGAANUCGUANCA